rnacentral:tRNA from 1 species
GAAUAUGAAGCGAUUUAUUGCAAUUAGUUUCGACCUAAUUUUAGGUAAUACUACCCUU